CCUACACAUGCAAGUCGAACGAAGUAGCAAUACUUAGCGGCAGACGGGUGAGUAACAUGUGGGUAUCUGCCCUUUGGCCUGGAAUAACACGAGGAAACUUGUGCUAAUACCGGAUAAGUCUUUACGGAGAAAGCUUUAUGCACCAUUGGAUGAGCCCGCACUUGAUUAGUUAGUUGGUAGGGUAAUGGCCUACCAAGACUGUGAUCAAUAGCUGAUUUGAGAGGAUGAUCAGCCACAUUGGGACUGAGACACGGCCCAAACUCCUACGGGAGGCAGCAGUGGGGAAUCUUGCACAAUGGAGGAAACUCUGAUGCAGCGAUGCCGCGUGAGUGAAGAAGGCCCUUGGGUUGUAAAGCUCUUUCGUCGGGGAAGAAAAUGACUGUACCCGAAUAAGAAGGUCCGGCUAACUUCGUGCCAGCAGCCGCGGUAAUACGAAGGGACCUAGCGUAGUUCGGAAUUACUGGGCUUAAAGAGUUCGUAGGUGGUUGAAAAAGUUGGUGGUGAAAUCCCAGAGCUUAACUCUGGAACUGCCAUCAAAACUUUUCAGCUAGAGUAUGAUAGAGGAAAGCAGAAUUUCUAGUGUAGAGGUGAAAUUCGUAGAUAUUAGAAAGAAUACCAAUUGCGAAGGCAGCUUUCUGGAUCAUUACUGACACUGAGGAACGAAAGCAUGGGUAGCGAAGAGGAUUAGAUACCCUCGUAGUCCAUGCCGUAAACGAUGUGUGUUAGACGUUGGAAAUUUAUUUUCAGUGUCGCAGCGAAAGCGAUAAACACACCGCCUGGGGAGUACGACCGCAAGGUUAAAACUCAAAUGAAUUGACGGGGACCCGCCCAAGUAGUGGAGCAUGUGGUUUAAUUCGAAGAUACGCGCAGGACCUUAC
rnacentral:rRNA from 1 species